GCCAAGGGGAAAGCCCUUUUCUGUUUCCAGCAGGACACACCUGGCAAUGGAUGUGACAUUCAGCACUGCCCAAGUUUCUUCCUCUUGGGGGAAGCAAAGUGGUGAAUGGAAGGAGGCAAUCCUCUGGCAGUGGGAUGCUAGGGAACGAUAAUAAGGCACGUUUGCUUGCUUGAAGGCUGCUGGUAUCUAUGGUUGGAAGCUGGUGGACGUCUCAUGAUGGACCUAAGAGAAGCUGGCAGAUGUUGGUAGAUGGAAGUCAGUGGUUUUUGGAUUCAGAAGUCAGUGGAGGCUACAAGGCUAAAGCAGACUGAUGUUUGUGGAUGUUGGCUGAUGGAAGUUCACCUGUGGAAGACAGUCAACAGAAGCCAGUAGAUAUUUGUGGAUUGCAGCCAGGGCACAAACAUGAAUGGUUGUCAUGUUUUUGGAUGUCGGCUGGAAUAUGUUUAUGUGAGUACAUGGGAGGUUUCAAAUGGGGUUGAGGCAAAAUGGUGUUUGCAUGUGCACAAAUGUGAUUUGUGGAAGGUAGAUAUUCAUAAAUAGAUGGAACCCGUGGGAGGGGGGAUAUUGGUUUCAUGGAAUCAGAGAAUCAGGGAAUCGAGUUUGGGAGGGACCAUGAGGGUCAUCUAGCCCAACCCCUUACAAUGCAGGAAUCUUUUGCCAAAAGUGGGGCUCAAACCCACUGGCAUGCUUCUGAACGGCUAGGUUGGCAGGAGCUGGGACAGAGCAACGGGAGCUCACCCUGUCACGGGGAUUCAAACUGCAAUUGGCAAGCCCAAGAGGCUCAGGGGUGUGACUCAGCACCACCUGCAUCCCUUGUGUAAUGCUUCAAAGGUUAAGAAAAGGCUUUACUUUGUGGCCUGCAUUCUGUAUAAACCCUGUCUAAUACUUUAAAAACAACAACCAGGUGAUGUAGGAAUAGUUUUUGGUUUGUACAUGUCUGGCAGAAACCAAAUAAGAAUAAAUUAUUCAAAUGUUCCAAAAGUUGAUACAUGAAAGGAAGUAAUUCUGGGGGGAAAGCAGCAGAAACCUGAAGCAAGGGUGACUUUAGGGAAAAUUAGACGGGGAGAGCCAAGUGGUGGUGAAGACUAUUAUUGUGGGAGAAGGAAUUCCACUGUUUAUGGAUACUUUAUCAAAUUCAGGAGAAUGCUGUUAGUAAGGUAGAUGAUGUUGAAACUAAGCUGGCCUGGGUGAGGCCAGUACCUGGUUGGGAGACAGGUGAGAUAUAAAUGUAGUAAAUAAACUAAGGGACGCAGGUGGCGCUGUGGGUUAAACCACAGAGCCUAGGACUUGUCGAUCAGAAGGUUGAUGGUUCGAAUCCCUGCGAUGGGAUGAGCUCCCGUUGCUCGGUCCCUGCUCCUGCUAACCUAGCAGUUUGAAAGCACGUCAGAGUGCAAGUAGAUAAAUAGGUACUGCUCUGGCGGAAAGGUAAACGGCGUUUCCGUGCGCUGCUCUGGUUCGCUAGAAGCGGCUUAGUCAUGCUGGCCACAUGACCUGGAAGCUGUACGCCGGCUCCCUCGGCCAAUAAAGCGAGAUGAGCGCCGCAACCCCAGAGUCGGCCACGACUGGACCUAAUGGUCAGGGGUCCCUUUAAAUAAACUAAAAAUAUAUAUUACCUUCUCAAUAAAGCUGGAUAUGGCUGCUGUUGGGAGACCUAACAUAUCUGCCUACAAUUCUCUUUGGCUCAAGAAACUUUGACAACUCCUCUCCCCGCAUCCAAUAGCCAUGACAGCUGAACCCCUUUAUGUCAUCUUUAACCCGACAAGAGCAAGAAAAUGUUCUUUGGCAUACAGCACACCAUAUAGGAAAACUCACACAUAUCUUUUUAUUUCCAAGCAGCUGCACCACAUUGACAGCCUUGGAUUUCUGUUCUUUAUGGUGUUUAAUUGCUUUUGUUCCUGUCAGUCUCCGUUCUGUCUAUAUCACGCCUGUAGUGUUCUGCAAGUGGUUUCAAUUUUAAAAAGUAAAGGGAGUUCUCACAUUUUGCUUACGCUAAUUGACACCAACUAGAACAGUAUUAUUUCCCAGAAGAUCUUCCUUAAAACUCUCCAGUUAGUCUGCAAAGCACUGGCGAAAAAGGGAGCAUGUUUUCCGAAGUCUAUUUUAUCUAAGAGACGCUGUUCUUCCCUUGAUACUCCUUCAGUCAAAAUGUACUACUUGAGCUUUAAAUGAAUUUUGGGGCAUACAUGGAGAUCUCUUCAUUUUAUAGGCAAAGACAUAGAACCACACAAAAAGCAAACGGUUUCUAAGCCCUCCCACAAAUCACUAUGAUUGGAGGGCUGAUCCGCAUGAUACAUUUAAGACACACCCACUUCACAUUGGGAGCACAUCCCAAACAAUCCCAGAAACUGAUAUUUCCCUUCGCAGAGCACUAGUUCCAAACACCUUCAACAAGCGACAGUUUUCAGGAUUCUUUGGGCGAAGUCAUGUGAUCUGUGAUGUGGUCAAGAUGAUACUUCAAAGCAACUGAUGGUUUCAGUUUAUGACCCAAAUCGUGUUUGGUCACAAGUGUCUGUAUUCCCCUAUAGCCAAUGUUUAAUCUGCAUGUCAUCAUUUUUCUCACAAAAGUUAUUGUAUCGGUCUUUGACUUGGCAGAGUUGGCAGCUUGCACUUAACGCAUGUUUCUCUGUGCUGAACGGCUAGUUUUUGAAAACAAGCCUUUACUGGCUUUAUUGAGGUCUUGUGAGAGUAUGCAGGCUGCCAACAGAGUUUGCAAAUUGAGUAAUUCUGUAGUUUCAUAAAGAAUAUCGCUGCAUAGUGCAAUCCGCCAGCAAUCCAUCUGCUUACAAAUGAACUUUGUACUGCAUUUGUGCAGAAACAGAAUGUGUGCAUGACCCGAGGAGGCAAAAUGCCAUGCUUUUAUUGCUCUUGUUGGGAGCUGGGAAUGUUUGUGUUUGCUUUAGAGCUUGUUGAGUUUAAUUCUUUGAAGCCUGACAGAUGUGUCUCCAGUCUCAGGAUAGAACCAUAAUGUUGGAAGCUCAGGCGGGCCUGCGAGGACGUGAGACCACGAGGGCAUGCCAUGAGCGCAUGCAGUGAAAGAGUCACGCUGAUGCCGCUAAGUUUGCUUCUGAUAAGCGGUGGGAUAGGAGACUCUCUGAGAACCAGACAUAUGCUGCCUAAAGUUUCACUGUGUAAGAAAGGAGAGAUAUAAGUAUUUUCCUAGACUCACAGAGUUGUAGAGUUGGAAGGGACCCCAAGUAUCACCUAGUCCAAGCCCUUGCAAUGCAGGAAUUUUCAUUAUUACUGAUUCCUCUGCUUCCUGACUUAUGCUAUACAGUGGUACCUUGGUUCUCAAAUGCCUUAGUACUCAAACAACUUGGAACCCAAACAUUGCAAACCCAGAAGUAAGUGUUCCGGUUUGCGGACCUUUUUCAGAAGCCGAAUGUGCUCUGUUUUGAGUGUUACACUUCCGAUUUGAGUGUUACGCUGAGGUCUGUUUUUGCUAUUUAUUUUGCGUUUUUGCGGUUCUUUUUGUUUUGUUUCUGUGACUCUGUGGAACCCAGUUCAGCUACUGAUUGAUUGAUUGGUGGUGUGACUGCAGUACAUUGUUUAUUGUACAUUGCUUAUGGAUCAAUGGUCUCGUUAGAUAGUAAAAUUCAUGUCAAAUUGCUGUUUUCGGUUUUUUUUAAAAAAAAGUCUGGAACGGAUUAAUUUAUUUUGCAUUGCUUUCUAUGGGAAAGCGCAUCUUGGUUUUGGAACGCUUUGGUUUUGGAAUGGACUUCCAGAACGGAUUAAGUUUGAGAACCAAGGUACCACUGUAUGUUUGUUUAUUCAUAGAAUCAUAGAACUGUAGAGUUGGAAGGGAUCCCUGCAAUGCAGGAAUCUCAAUUUUAUUACAUUUCUGUCCAAGGAUCACAGAGCGGUUUACAAUAGAAAAAUACAAAAAUGUACAACAUAGUAACAAACAAAAGCAAUACAUCCCACCCCCCAGUAUUAUUUAUGUUGGCAUAAUUUGGAUUUGGGAAGUCAGAAAAUUCCAUUGGGGGGAAAAAUCCCACAAUUGGCACAUUUGUCUAAGGUCAGCAAUGGAAAUCCAUGCAAGCAGAGAUAAGCAGCGUUUGCUACAAUUGUUUUAUUAUUAUUAUUAUUAUUAUUAUUAUUAUUAUUAUUAUUUAGUCAACAAAUGUUGGAUUUAAAAUUGCAGAAUUUUUCUGCAGUCUUUUUUUUAAAAAAAACCAUUUCCCUUCCCCUGAAACACAUUGAAAUAUUUAUGUGGUUAAUCACGUAAGUUUCGGCCAUGGCGGGAUCACAAGGUGAAUCACUUAUUUUUUAGCAGAAGCUGAACUGCAGGGGAAUGGAAACACUGAUGAUUGGGAUGAACCUAGAGUGGGAAAGAAGUUAAUGCCAGCUUACAUUCCUUAGGCUACUUGAUAUGGAGUCUUCUAGACCAAGACUGUCUCCACUGACUAGGAGAGGUUCUUCAAGGGCUCAGGCAGCCCUUGUACUUGAGACCCUUUGAAAAUGGAGGCACUGGGGACUGAACCCUGGAACUUCUGAAUGCAAACAAUGUACUCUGCUGUUUAGUUAUGGUCCCUCCUCUGUACAAAAAAACUUCUAUUGUCCUGGGAGAAGGAUAGGAGGAGAAGCCACAUAUUGAUAGGAGGAGAAGCCACAGUGACAACAUCUCCACCUUUGUUUGCAGACCGAUGAAAGGAACAAGUAGAAUCUCUCAAUUUUAAUUAUUGUUAUCAUAGUUUGGAGAUGGGCAGAUAUGCCAAUUUUGGUUUCUCUCCCUUUUUCAUUUCCCUCCAAUCUUAAGUUCAGGUUGCCACAUUUCUGCAUCAGUUUAAAACACUUUUGUGCCUAUUUCUCUGCAGCUAUCCAUUUUUGUAUGCAAUGUACCUGCUAUAACAUUACACACCUUUAGGCGCCAGGCAAAAGCAUUCCUUUUUAACCAGGCCUUUGAGUGAUACGAUUUACAUCCUAUGCCCUUUUAAAAUGUGUUUUUCAGGAGGGGGGGGCUAUUGAGUUGCUUUUAUUUUUAUUAUGUAUUUUGUGGUUUUAUACAGUGGUACCUCGGGUUAAGUACUUAAUUUGUUCCGGAGGUCCGUACUUAACCUGAAACUGUUCUUAACCUGAAGCACCACUUUAGCUAAUGGGGCCUCCUGCUGCUGCCGUGCCGCCGGAGCACAAUUUAUGUUCUCAUCCUGAAGCAAAGUUCUUAAUCAGAAGCACUAUUUCUGGGUUAGCGGAGUCUGUAACCUGAAGCCUAUGUAACUGAAGCGUAUGCAACCUGAGGUACCACUGUAUUUUGAUUUUAUUCUGUGAGCCGUCCUGAGACCCCCGGGUAUAGGGCGGUAUAUAAAUUAUAAUAAUAAUAAUAAUAAUUAAUAAUAAUAUUUUUGUGAGCAAUUUCUCUGAAUAUAAUUCAUAUAUGCAUUUCUACAAGACAUGUCUCUUAAUGUCCAUCAUUUCGUGCAUCAUUUAGAUUAAAUGUUCUUUGAGGUCCCUAACCAUCCCUACGAUUGCUUUUCGGAAGCAUUGGACUUGUUCCUCCAUGUGGAAAGGAAAUAUAAAAAUAGCAGCAACGAGGUUGUCCAAAAUGUGAAUAAUCAUUUCAAGGGCAGUUUCUGAAAAGGAAAACAAAAACAACAUUCCAAAGGCUUAUACAUUUCAAUCCACGUGGAAGGGGGAAUUCCUGUGUCCUGUUUCCCCUCACACACUCUUGAGAAUUUCUGAAAGGCAGUAUUGAGUUGCAUCAGAGCUGUUGCCUUAUGCAACAUAAUGUAAAGCAAAGUAAUUCGUUCAGACUGACGUAACCAGAAUGACUACACAAGCAGGCAAUACAGCUCACGGAGGCUGAUGUAAUAAGAAGGAGUGCUCCAGAAAUGUGGAUGAAAGGAAGGGCACGCCUGUCACAAAACAAAGGAAUCCUCUCCCCCGUCCCUCCCCUUCCGAGAUCUGCUGCUAGAAAAAGUAAAAUAUGCAAAUACGGCAAUAGCUGAGUUUUAGCUCAGCCAGCUGAAGCUGGUGCAGAGAAAGCGAGCAACUGAAAGGACUCUCAGAAGGACAUCUCACUGACGGUGCUGCAAAGUUGCUGCUGGGCUAUCAGUCUAAUCACGGGACUGGUGAUCAGGAGGCUAUAAAACUGAACUUUAAAAAACCCUACAGAGUUAUGUGAACUUUGGCCACAGACAACUGAGCACUAGCUGUUUUGAUCCUGCAUGUCCACCAGUAUGACUUGUAUGUACGGAACAGUGUUCACCUUUCUGUAUUAUUGGGCAUGUUGGAUACAAAAAUAUUUCAAGGCGCAAAUCAAGCCCGGUGCAGACCACCAUUUCUGCCAUGUCUGUUGGUUAGCUAUUCCAGACUCUCCAAGUCGUUUCCCUAUGUUCCAGGGACAUUCCCGGAUUUACAGAAGCCAUCCCGGUUUCUGAUUUGAUCCUAGAAUGUCCUGCUUUUUCUUAGGACGUCCCUAUUUUCAAAGGAGAAAUGUUGGAGUUAUGUGACCCCUGAGCCAAGGAGUAACUAUACAACCUUUAGAAAAUGAAGAGUUUUUUUAAAAAAUGUUUAUGAUUUGAUACAUGUUGAAGGCCGCCCAGUGUGGCUGGGGCAACCCAGUCAGAUGGGCAGGAUAUAAAUAUAGUUAUCAUCAUCAUCAUCAUCAUCAUCAUCAUCAUCAAAUAGGACAUCCCUAUUUUCACCAGAGAAAUGUUGGAGGGUUUGCUAUUUAGCAACAUGCACCAUUUAUUCUGUGGAUUGGGCAAGGCUUUGAUGAUGAUAAUACAGUGAAUUAUUCCAGCAUUCAGUUGCUUGUUUCUAUAAAGAGUAUGCAGUGUCAAAGUAGGGAGGAAGCAUGCCUGGCUAAAGGAGGCAGUGGGAGGUAGAAGAUGAAGACCCCUCUCCUCACUCAUGUUAUACGGUUUGGCUUUGACUUUGUGCCAAAUAUUCUCUCUGUGCCUCUCUUAACUUACAACCCUAAUACUGUGCCUAUGGAGAUCUUAAAAUAUUAUUGUGGGUACUAUUGCCAAUCGUGAAUCACACAGGCUUUUCUCAAGGCUAGCCAAAGUUCAAGCUAUAUAUUUAGCCUCCUUUCUAUGGGAAUCACCACCAUUUCCAGGACUGCAUAAAAUAUAAAAUAAGCAGAUUUACCGUUCCUGGAUAAUGCAUUAAGAACCCUACUGACUGAGUAUGGCUGCCAAAACAUACCUGCUGACUCAGAUAUUCUGUCAUGUUCUACAGCAUGCAAGUAUAUGUAUAUAUAUAUAUGGCAGAAUUGCACCCCAGAUAAAAUAGAAAUAUAACUGUUGAACUGUAUGGUGGGUUUGCCCUUCUUAUCUUGUUGUAAAAGCCUCUCCUCCUUACAGAGGGGAGGAGUUGUGAGCAGGAACCGUUUCCUGCGUUGGCAGGGGGCGUUCCAGCCCCUGCCCAGCUGGCCUGGCUGCCACGCCACGCCCCCAGGUAGCCAACCAAUCAGGUGGAGGCUUGGGGGCGGGGUUUAGCCGCUUAAACGCAGCCACGGCAGCACUUCCCUUUCAUUCUGCUGCUGGUUUCUCUUUUGGCUUGGGUGGCGGUUAGGCAUUGGAAUAUGUUUGUGUAUUGGAGGGCAGGGUGUGGCCAUCGGAUACCCCUCCACUUUAUGGGUAUUCCGGUAAAGGAAUCCGGCGGUCAUGGAUCCUGUCUGAUGCCCUUGCUGGUGGCUAGGGCCAUGGCACAACCCCCGGUGACAUCAGGAGGAGCUUUCAGUUGUACAGUGGUACCUCAGGUUAAGUACUUAAUUGGUUCCGGAGGUCCGUACUUAACCUGAAACUAUUCUUAAUCUGAAGCACCACUUUAGCUAAUGGGCUAAAAUGGGGAGGCCCCAUGAGCUAAAGUGGUACCUCAGGUUCAGAACAGUUUCAGGUUAAGAACAGACCUCCAGAACGAAUUAAGUUUGUAACUGGAGGUACCACUGUAUUUCUCUUCCCUAGGAUGCUGUGAAUUUUCACAAUUGCCAUGAGAACUUCUUCAUGAAAACAAAGCUCAUUUUGCUAGCCCAGUGGAUCUACUAUCAAUGGACUAUGGGGUACAAAUCCAGGAUCUUGCAACCCAAAGGAAGACCCUCACAUCCAAUGACCAUGUCAUAUCAGCAGUACAGUGGUACCUCAGGUUAAGAACCUAAUUCAUUCUGGAGGUCCGUUCUUAACCUGAAACUGUUCUGAACCUGAGGUACCACUUUAGCUAAUGGGGCCUCCCGCUGCCGCCACGCCGCCACCACAUGAUUUCUGUUCUCAUCCUGAAGCAAAGUUCUUAACCCGAGGUAAUAUUUCUGGGUUAGCAGAGUCUGUAACCUGAAGCGUAUGUAACCUGAAGCGUAUGUAACCCGAGGUACCACUGUAUUUGCAUCAACAGGCUCCUCCCACUGGUGGUUAACCCUUGUUAGACUCACCCCUCCCUGAGGGGGUGGAAUCACGCUCUGUUGUUUUAUCCAGUGCCUAAGCCAAUACCUCCCACAUGCUGUAAUCAAUAAAGUUGUGGCCUUUUUUAGCCCAUUAACCUAAUAUACUGUUUCCAUGUGUCUUUCUUAUCCCCAAGUGGGUGGCGGGUCCUUGAAUCACAAAUCUACUCAUUUGGAGAAAACUGUUGUGGACACCAUAAGCAACUUCACAGAAGAAAAACUGGUGAUUCAGAACAGAGGGGGAAAUCAGACAGCACCCCACAAAAACCGGCAAACCUACAAAAUCAAAAGCCCCCCCCCCAAUUCAUUUGAAAUUGGGAGACAUGGGGGAAACCACGUUGGGGACCCCAGGGCUAAGGGAAGAGUUAGUGAGCCAAUAGGAUGCAGACAAAUAAGAAAUAACAUUCUGUUUUUACCUCUAUCUGUCUAUCUGAUGCGUCAAUUGAGAUUCCUGCAUUGCAGGGGCUGGGACUAGAUGAUACUUGGCAUUCCUCCCAACUCUGCGAUUCUAUGAUUCUAUGUACAGUGGUACCUCAGGUUAAGUACUUAAUUCGUUCCAGAGAUCCGUUCUUAACCUGAAACUGUUCUUAACCUGAAGCACCACUUUAGCUAAUGGCACCUCCUGCGGCUGCUGCGCCGCCGCCGCACAAUUUCUGUUCUUACCCUGAAGCAAAGUUCUUAACCCGAGGUACUAUUUCUGGGUUAGCGAAGUCUGUAACCUGAAGCGUCUGUAACCCGAGGUACCACUGUACACAUGUGUACAUAACACAAGAAGAUGGGGCUCUGCUUCCAGAAAAUAACAGAUGAAAAGCAGACACAAGGGAAACAACAGAGGAAGAGGAGAGAGCCAAGAGUAAACAAGGAAGCAAUAUUGAAUCGUUUCACUUACAUCAGCUUAUUGCAGAAGACAGGGCAUUCGUUCUGCAACUUGUGACCCUAGACUUGGGAUCCAGCACAAGAAAACCAAAGCAAGCCCCAAGGGUUUGCUGACCAUAGUGUUCUUCUGAAACCAAGUCAUUUCACUAGAACAACUUGUCCCUUCUAUUCAUGGCGCAUCCACGUAAUGGUGAUGGACUCUCUCCAUCAUCUCUCCACCCUUCUCCCUUCAAAUGAGAAUACCUGUACAGGUGAGUAGUUUGGUCAGAACAGCAGCACUGAAGAUGGAAGUUGCCCAACACCAUUUUGCUCACCAGAAUUGUCCCCCAGGCUGCUGUUUGCCCCACAGGUAUUUAACUUCCCUGUAGCCCCCGACUGAACAAAUAGUAGCCUGCCAUUUUGAUCGUGAAAAAUGAAAUGGGAGAAAGCGUUUAAAAAAGAUCCUCUCCUGCAAACUGCUCUGACUAUUUCAUUAAAUUUAAUCUAUUCGACCAUUGAUAUCCCAUGCAACAUGCAGUUCAGCCCUCCCACCCGCUGAAUAUACAAAACUACAGCCAAUAUACAGUACAGUGGUACUUCGGGUUAAGAACUUAAUUCGUUCUGGAGGUCUGUUCUCAGUGGCGUAGCAUGGGGGGUGCAGGGGGGGCCGGCCGCACCGGGCACAACAUCUGGGGGGGGGCGUGCUCGCACUCGCAGCUCUCUGCCCCUACCUGGCUCACUCACUCUCUCUCACUGCAGUGCUGGCUGUGCGAAUCCGAUCCGAGCCGCUGGGUCGCCGCCCACUGUGGAGGGGGUGGGUGCCAGGCAUGCGGUGCGGAGAGAGAGCGAGGGACUAUCUGGGGGAGGGACAGUGCAGUGGCUGUCCAGCGCAGCGCUGAGCGCGGGAGAGAACCACACCAGACCAGCCCAGGUAGCAGCAAGAAGAAGCUGGCAGCGGCGGCAGGUUAGGGGUUAGGGGGCGCAAAUUACUUGCCUUGCCCUGGAUGCUGACAACCCACGCUACGCCGCUGUCUGGUCUUAAAGUGAAACUGUUCUUAACCUGAAGCACCACUUUACUUAAUGAGGCCUUCCACUGUCACUGUGUCGCCGCUGCACAAUUUCUGUUCUCAUCCUGAAGUAAAGUUCUUAACCUGAGGUAAUAUUUCUGGGUUAGUGGAGUCUGUAACCUGAAGCGUAUGUAACCCAGGGUACCACUGUAUAAAUAUAUUGAAAGCUGCUGCCUGGAGAACUUUGGUUAGUGUGGGGGGUGGGGCAGAGAUAAAUAACUUUCUUUUGUUCCAGUUUUUAGGAUACUGUUCUGGCGGCUACUGAGAAAUCCAUACAAAUGGAAAACAUCAUGUUUGCUCCCAUUGCUGGUUCCCCCGAGUUAAAUGCUGGAAGGUUUACACCAGGCAUGUCUAAAGUCCGUCUUGGGCGCCUAAUCUGGCCCGCUCAACAACUUCAAUCCUAAAAAAAGAAAGCUCAACAACUUUGACUGGCAGUUUGGUGUUGACCCCCACGCCCCUUCACUUCAUCAAAACUGGCCCUCUUUGAAAAAAGUUUGGACACCACAGGUAUACACUAUAUUACGGCAAGGGAAUCGUAGCUUGUUAACUUGCCCAGAAUGAAUUAUUUCCAUUUGAUUUGUAUGGAGUUGAAUUUUGUACGGAGUAGCUACUUUAGCAUGAUUUGUAUGGAGUCCAAUUUUCAAAUGAAGGGGAAAAAAUAAUCACCUGGGCAUAAUUUUCUCCUACAGGAUAUCGGUCGCAAACCUUGGGACAGAUGACUUCAUGGUCAGUCAUGUGCCUUGUGUCAAGAGGCACAGCGAUGCAUUUGUUCCUGCUUGCUCCUGUCCAAAGAUCAUAUCCCUUUUCCAAGGCA
rnacentral:lncRNA from 1 species